rfam:Pythium ultimum DAOM BR144 ctg_1117875580641, whole genome shotgun sequence.
CCCACGGUUUUCUUUUAAAAACCACCAAUAUAAUAUAUCGGAUUUUAG